CAAUAGCGUAUAUUAAAGUUGUUGCGGUUAAAAGCUCGUAGUUGGAUUUCUGCCGAGGACGACCGGUCCGCCCUCUGGGUGAGUAUCUGGUUCGGCCUGGGCAUCUUCUUGGAGAACGUAUCUGCACUUGGCUGUGUGGUGCGGUAUCCAGCAUUUUUACUUUGAGGAAAUUAGAGUGAUUCAAGCAGGCACACGCCUUGAAUACAUUAGCAUGGAAUAAUAAGAUAGGACCUCGGUUCUAUUUUGUUGGUUCUAGAAUAUUCUAGAGCUGAGGUAAUGAUUAAUAGGGAUAGUUGGGGGCAUUCGCAUUUAACUGUCAGAGGUGAAAUUCUUGGAUUUGUUAAACACGCACCACUGCGAAAGCAUUUGCCAAGGAUGUUUUCAUUGAUCAAGAACGAAAGUUAGGGGAUCGAAGACGAUCAGAUACCGU
rnacentral:rRNA from 1 species